CCUACGGGUGGCAGCUGUGAGGAAUAUUGGUCAAUGGGCGCGAGCCUGACCCAGCCAAGUAGCGUGAAGGAUGACUGCCCUACGGGUUGUAAACUUCUUUUAUAAAGGAAUAAAGUGAGGCACGUGUGCCUUUUUGUAUGUACUUUAUGAAUAAGGCUCGGCUAACUCCGUGCCAGCAGCCGCGGUAAUACGUAGGAUCCGAGCGUUAUCCGGAUUUAUUGGGUGUAAAGGGAGCGUAGAUGGGUUGUUAAGUCAGUUGUGAAAGGUAGGGGCUCAACCGUAAAAUUGCAAUUGAUACUGGCAGUCUUGAGUACAGGUGAGGUAGGCGGAAUUCGUGGUGUAGCGGUGAAAUGCUUAGAUAUCACGAAGAACACCGAUGGCGAAGGCAGCUUACUAAACUGCCACUGACAUUGAUGCGCGAAAGUGUGGGUAUCAAACAGGAUUAGAUACCCCAGUAGUC
rnacentral:rRNA from 1 species